AGUGAACGCUGGCGGUAGGCCUAACACAUGCAAGUCGAACGGCAGCACAGGAGAGCUUGCUCUCUGGGUGGCGAGUGGCGGACGGGUGAGGAAUACAUCGGAAUCUACUCUGUCGUGGGGGAUAACGUAGGGAAACUUACGCUAAUACCGCAUACGACCUACGGGUGAAAGCAGGGGACCUUCGGGCCUUGCGCGAUUGAAUGAGCCGAUGUCGGAUUAGCUAGUUGGCGGGGUAAAGGCCCACCAAGGCGACGAUCCGUAGCUGGUCGUAAAGGAUGAUCAGCCACACUGGAACUGAGACACGGUCCAGACUCCUACGGGAGGCAGCAGUGGGGAAUAUUGGACAAUGGGCGCAAGCCUGAUCCAGCCAUACCGCGUGGUGAAGAAGGCCUUCGGGUUGUAGAGCCCUUUUGUUGGGAAAGAAAUCCAGCUGGCUAAUACCCGGUUGGGAUGACGGUACCCAAAGAAUAAGCACCGGCUAACUUCGUGCCAGCCGCCGCGGUAA
rnacentral:rRNA from 1 species